GCGCCCGUGGCGCAGUUGGAUAGCGCGUUUGACUCCGACUCAAAAGGUCGCAGGUUCGAAUCCUGUCGGGCGUACCA
rnacentral:tRNA from 1 species